CAUCAGAUUACAGCAGAAAAAGAGAGGUUAAACCGUUGUAAGGAGAGGGAGAGAUUUGGUGAUGAUGGCGGCGAAGUUGUUGGUGUAGAUCGUCAUCACGUUGGUCCCCUCGGGUGGCGCUCGGGCACUACUAGAAGAGAGGGGAGAGAGCCCCGUCCUUCUUAUUCCUUGCCCCCUAGAAGGGAGGAGGGUUUCCCCUUUGGUCCUUGGCCACCAUGGCUCCCGGAGGGCAGGAGCCCCUCAGAGAUUGGAUCUCUCUCUCUCUCUUUGUCUGUCUGUUGUCUCUCUCUCUCUCUAGUUCUCUUCUAUUUCACUUUCUAUUUUAUGGCCCUUCACAAUUUCUUAUAUUUAGGGAGAUCCGUAACUUUGACUGGGCCGAAAUUUUGAGGUUUUUUAAUCUGAAUAUUAGCUUCCUUGGGUUGAACGACACCCCCAACCGACCAUUGAGGUGGCCACAAGCUUGCUCGGCGCCCCCCCAGGGUACGGGGCGCAUCGUGUGAGCUUGUGGGCCCCUCGAGCAUUAUCUUGCGUUGAUUCUUGCCCAAAAAAUCCCAUAUAUUCCAUAAAAGAUCACCGUAACUUUUUAUCGCAUUUGGACUUCGUUUGAUAUGGCUUUUCUGCGAAAUAUAAAAACAUGCAAAAAACAGGAACUGUCACUGGGCACUAGAUCAAUAUGUUAGUCCCAAAUAAUAUAAAUUCUUGCCAAAAGUAUGUGAAAGUUGUAAAAUAAUUGGCAUGAAACAAUCAAAAAUUAUAGAUACGAAGGAGACAUAUCAGUUGUGCUGCAAAUAUCAUGUCAGCUUUAUAUAGUCAUGCAAAAAAAUGUCAAUGAAUGCUCAAGUCAUGUGAAUAGUAAUGGUGGAAGUUGCAUGACAAUAUACCUCGGAAUGCCUAUGUAAAUGCCAUGAUAGGUAGGUAUAGUGGAUGUUUUGAGGAACAAUGUAAUAAGGCUUAUGUGUGAUAGAGCGUGUCAUAUCACGGGGUUUGGAUGCAUGGGCGAAGUUUGCACCAAGUCUCAAGGUGAGAACGGGCAACGCACGGUCAGAAGAGGCUAGCAAAAUAUGGAUAGGUAGAAGUGCUUAUAGUCCACAAACUCACAUUAGUAAUAAAGAACUCAAAUAAUUAUUGUGAAAGUUUAUUAGCCCUCGAAGCAAAGUACUACUCGCAUGCCCCUAGGGCGGAGGUUGGUAUGAGUUAACCAUCGUGCGCCCCUGAUCCAGUCAAAACAAAGGAUAUCAAUCAAGGAUAAAUUACGCUCCAACUUCCUAGCCAAACCACAACCGACACUUUAAUGAGGCCGAAAUCACAAACCUCAACACCGAUAUUUUUACUAACUAAUGUUUAUUGACUAGUAAACUUCCAUACUAUAACUUCAAUAUCGUUGGUCAUACGCAUCACAUUCAGUGAUCUACAUGGAAGUUUUUAUUAUACCACUCUUAUAUAGCUAUCAUUUUAGACUAAACAUAUAGCUCAUGCAAAUUACCACUUUCUAUUUAACUCUCAAAAGAUAUAACUGAAGCAUGAGAGUGCAACUGAUUUCUAUAAAAUAUAAGUAACGUCGUGCUCUAAGGGUAUAAGUGAAGCAUGUGAGCAUAUUGCCUUAAUUCAAAAGAUAUAAGUGAAGCAUAAUGAGCAUUCUAAUAAAUUAUGAUGAAUGUGUGUCUCUCGUAGUGUGUGUGAUCAACAACAAUGACCAUGGAAACAAGCAAAUAAUAUAAAACUAUAAUACAUGGCGCUGCAAGCAAAACACUUAUCAUGUGAUGAAUAAAAAUAUAGCUCCGAGUAAUAUUAUCAAUAGAUUGGAGAUGAAAGAGGGAAUGCCUUCUGGUGCAUCCCCAAGCUUAGAUGCUUGGAUCUUUCUUGAAUAUUACCUUAGGGUGCCUUGGGCAUCCCAAGCUUAGGGUCUUGUCACUCCUUAUUCUUUCAUCCAUCGUCAUCUCACCCACAACUUGAAAACUUCAAUCAUACAAAACUCAACAAUACCUCAUGAGAUCCAUUAGUUUAAUAAAUUAAUCAUACAAUUUAGUUACUAUUAUAAAUAUAUUCAUAUUUUUCUUGCAUAAUACCUACAAUAUUAUGACUUCACCAUAACUUAUACCCUCGAUAUAAUCCAUAGAAUCAUCAAAACAAGCACACUAUGCAAUAAAACAGAAUCUGUCUAAAAUGGAACAAUACAUAAUGAUAGAAUUUUAUCCAUACUUAUCUAAACCCAAAAUUUCUGAAAAAUUAGGACAAAGUAAAAAAUUUGUAUCACAACACUGUGUAAAACAAUUAAGCAAUUUAUCACAUUCCAUUAUAGAAUUAAAUUCAAACACUGGACGCAAAAGUUUCUAUUUCUGUACAGGAUCAAUUUAACGAUCAUCGAAAUCAUCCUAAAGGCUUUACUUGGCACAAAAUUCAAAAGAAAAGAUAAAAACACAAUCAUUACAGUAGAAAUAAUCAUGUUGACACAACAAAAGAAGUAAAAAAAUAAGAUAGCUAUCAGGUUGUCUCCCAACAAGCGCUAUUGUUUAAUGCCCCUAGCUAGGCAUAAUGCAUAGUUUCAAGUAUAUUAUCAUCCUUGUCCAAUUCCUUAAUUAUGCAAUGUGAUUUGCUAGGAGGUUUAGAAAGCAUAUUCUUAAUCAUGACACUCCUAGGUAGAAAAUCAAGGAAUUUGUUAUCAAGCAUAGGUUCCUUUAUUAUAUCGAUGAAGCUGGGGUGAACGCUAAUCAUUUUAAAUCUCCAUUCUCAUUGCCUCAGGAAGCAUCCUUAUUUUUAGGAACAUACACAAGAUUGGAAUCCUAUCUAACAUUCUUAAGAAGUUAAUCUCCACUACUACCUAUUCUCUCAUCAUGCACACUGUCCACAUCACCAAUUAACAUGCAACCAUUCACUUCUUUCCACCUCAGCAGUCUAGCCACAUCAUCGUUCACACAUCAGCAUUCUAUUAGUCACUUACAUAUGGACCAACCAAUAUAGUAGGUACACCACCCGGCACAUAAGCGUUUAGUUUCUUGCUAGCUGGCCACAUAAUCAUUUAGUUACCUUCUAAAUGGACCCACCACAACCUUUCGGCAAAUCGUGGGAUUUAAUUUCCACUCAGUUGGCAUUAGUUCUUCCAUAUUCUGUAACUGGUGAUAUAGAGCUGAGACCCAGCGCCUUAUCAACUCCCCACCAAAUUUUGCUUGCACCUCUUUUCUUCCCUAUCAUGAAGGCUCGCUCCUCCAUCGGCAGUCCACGCCAAAGGUUCUAAUGCUCCGCCCACCGGCAGUCUGUUCCAGCCACAGCGUCUCCGUGUGUCCACAUACGCAGCGCCUACCUCCUCCGGUCAUCCAUGCAGGCGAGGGCCGUCGCACAACCGCUAGCAACCCACAACAGAAACACCAAAACGGCGCUACUCCUAUUUGACGCCAUGGCGGCCGGCUUGCCGAGACCCAGGCCACCACUCGCUGCUGACCACUGAGGUGCCCUUCUACUAUAGCUAUAUAUACUCACUACAACUAAGCUGUGGAUUUUACCCUUUUUGACUACUUCCAAAUAAUAAAGCGUUGAACAUUGCAUAAUCAAGAUUGGUUCGUUCUAUUUUUAUUUGAUUUUUAUAAUCCCUCUAAUCCUCUUUCCCGUAGCAUCUGAGAUCGCUCUUCCGGACGCUCUUAAUUUCUCUUCAACCUUCGGACCGCCCGUAAUCCCACCCCAUAGAGCUGAACAGGGCAGUGAAGGCUUAUUUUACGCAAAUCAAUAUGACCCCACACAAAACUGAAGGACGGCAACCUUUCUACUCUUGAAUCAGGAUCUCACCUACAUGACUGACCAAGAUUUUCUCUUUAGCUGAAUUUGGCUAAUCUUUAUCACUGAAAAACUUUGGUCAGUGUCGGGUUUUCUGCUUCAAUUUCUCAUGCAUGUACACUAUAUAAAACUGCAGUUGCAGAGGUACUAGAUGCACUCACAAUUUCAACUUUAUUGUUAUCUUCGCAGAGGUACGAGUAUUCACUUUGGUAUUUCCUAAAUGAAUCCUGGCAGAUCAUGAUGCUUAA